rnacentral:rRNA from 1 species
UACGUAGGCAGCAAGCGUUGUUCGGAGUUACUGGGCGUAAAGGGUGUGUAGGCGGUCCUCUAAGUUUGGUGUGAAAUCUCCCGGCUCAACUGGGAGGGUGCGCCGAAAACUGGAGGGCUAGAGUACUGGAUGGGAGAGUGGAAUUCCUGGUGUAGCGGUGAAAUGCGUAGAUAUCAGGAGGAACACCUGUGGUGUAGACGGCUCUCUGGACAGUAACUGACGCUGAGACACGAAAAGCGUGGGGUAGCAAAACAGG